GGUUAAGCGACUAAGCGUACACGGUGGAUGCCCUGGCAGUCAGAGGCGAUGAAGGRCGUGCUAAUCUGCGAUAAGCGCCGGUAAGGUGAUAUGAACCGUUAUAACCGGCGAUWYCCGAAUGGGGAAACCCAGUGUGACUCGUCACACUAUCAUUAACUGAAUCCAUAGGUUAAUGAGGCGAACCGGGGGAACUGAAACAUCUAAGUACCCCGAGGAAAAGAAAUCAACCGAGAUUCCCCCAGUAGCGGCGAGCGAACGGGGAGGAGCCCAGAGCCUGAAUCAGCAUGUGUGUUAGUGGAAGCGUCUGGAAAGGCGCGCGAUACAGGGUGACAGCCCCGUACACAAAAGCGCAYRUGCUGUGAGCUCGAUGAGUAGGGCGGGACACGUGGUAUCCUGUCUGAAUAUGGGGGGACCAUCCUCCAAGGCUAAAUACUCCUGACUGACCGAUAGUGAACCAGUACCGUGAGGGAAAGGCGAAAAGAACCCCGGCGAGGGGAGUGAAAAAGAACCUGAAACCGUGUACGUACAAGCAGUGGGAGCCCCACCACUAAGCCAGUGGUGAACUCCACAUACGCAUCCUUUGCUGAGGAUACGGUUAACGGAGCGCAAGCGACGUUCAACCGCAAAAGAAGCAGAGGGGGCUUAGUGGUGGGGUGACUGCGUACCUUUUGUAUAAUGGGUCAGCGACUUAUAUUCUGUAGCAAGGUUAACCGAAUAGGGGAGCCGGAGGGAAACCGAGUCUUAAYYGGGCGUUAAGUUGCAGGGUAUAGACCCGAAACCCGGUGAUCUAGCCAUGGGCAGGUUGAAGGUUGGGUAACACUAACUGGAGGACCGAACCGACUAAUGUUGAAAAAUUAGCGGAUGACCUGUGGCUGGGGGUGAAAGGCCAAUCAAACCGGGAGAUAGCUGGUUCUCCCCGAAAGCUAUUUAGGUAGCGCCUCGUGAAUUCAUCUCCGGGGGUAGAGCACUGUUUCGGCUAGGG
rnacentral:rRNA from 1 species